UUUCACUAAGUUACUUAUAUUUCUUGUUGAUGUUUUACCGAAUUACUUUCAUUUUAUAACAGUUUCUCCUUUUUCUUUCCCUUUUUGCCGAAUUUGUUUCUCUUUGACCUUUCUAGCUUAUCAAAAUUAGCAAAUGCUAUUGCCGGCAACUCUAUCUGGAUUUGGUACUUUAGACUUAGGAAUUGAAAAUAACAGCCGUUAGUCUUAUACUUUUAAUAUUUUAGGUUUCUGUCGAGCAUAUGGAUA
rnacentral:lncRNA from 1 species